AUUGAACGCUGGCGGCAUGCCUUACACAUGCAAGUCGAACGGCAGCACGGGAGCAAUCCUGGUGGCGAGUGGCGAACGGGUGAGUAAUACAUCGGAACGUGCCCAAUCGUGGGGGAUAACGCAGCGAAAGCUGUGCUAAUACCGCAUACGAUCUACGGAUGAAAGCAGGGGACCGCAAGGCCUUGCGCGAAUGGAGCGGCCGAUGGCAGAUUAGGUAGUUGGUGGGGUAAAGGCUCACCAAGCCAACGAUCUGUAGCUGGUCUGAGAGGACGACCAGCCACACUGGGACUGAGACACGGCCCAGACUCCUACGGGAGGCAGCAGUGGGGAAUUUUGGACAAAGGGCGCAAGCCUGAUCCAGCCAUGCCGCGUGCAGGAUGAAGGCCUUCGGGUUGUAAACUGCUUUUGUACGGAACGAAACGGCCUUUUCUAAUAAAGAGGGCUAAUGACGGUACCGUAAGAAUAAGCACCGGCCAACUACGUG
rnacentral:rRNA from 1 species